CCAUGUUUCUCUCGGGAGUGGCGGGGACAGAGGCUAGCCCGGGGCAGUUGGAGGGGACUUGACUUCAGCCUGUGGCAGUUGGUGGCCGUCUUGCUCCCAUCAAGGUACAGCCGCCUGCGUGAGCAUGACACCAGUAAGCAGAACCCACAGGCGGGGAGAGACGGUUCCUGCUGACGCCCCUGAGCUCCAGGUGCAGCCUGGCUGUAAGCCGUCCACCUGUGGACUUAGUUACGCUGUCUGCUGCAUGAGAAUGGAGACCAGGUGUCUGGAGCCCGCCCGGCACACAGUAGGGCCUCAGUGAACGUGCACUGGGUGUGUGGACGCUGAGGCCACGGACGAGAACGUUCCAGGCAGUGAUGAAGCUGCGAUGAAGGCUCCCAUCCGUCUGUCUGUCCACGGCUCCGGGCUCCUCUGCCUCCUGCCCUCCGCACGCUCCCUGCAUGGUGCGUCCUCCCCCUCCUCCGAGACUAGGAAGAAGAAAUCUGAAGGUCGUCAUAGAGGACACUCCAGGGGCCUGGGGCACAGUGCUCCUCAGACUUCUUGCCCCUGGGUGGGCUCUGAGCAGGAGGGGUUGGCUUCUCAGCAGGAGACAAAGAGGGAGAUGUCAUGUAUGUGCAGCUCCACCAGGCUUUGCCUACUCUCCUGAAGCGCAUCCUGAGAGGCUGGCCUGGAACAUGUUUGAUGGGUGGAGGCUGGACUCUGGUGUAGGCCUGGAGAGUAUUCAGUGUCUUGCAGGCCCUGUGAUGGGGAAAUGAGUUUUGAUGGCCAAUUUUGGAGGAUGCCUCGCAAUUGAAAACUGGCUCUAGAUAACUUCAAGGAUUCAGCUUAUGAGAAGUGGUGAGACUGGGCAUCCUUGUCUUGUUCCAGAUUUUAGUGAGCACAGGCUCCGGACGCGCAGGCUCAGCGGCCAUGGAUCAUGGGCACAGCCUCUCCGUGGCAUGUGGGAUCUUCCCGGACCAGGGCACGAACCCGUGUCCCCUGCAUCGGCAGGUGGACUCCCAACCACUGCGCCACCAGGAAAGCCUGGACUUCUUCCCUUAAUAAAUGAAGAAUGGGAGACUCCAGGUGGCCUCAUGGUUGAGGUUUCAAGACGAGUGAAAAAAGAUAAAAGCAAAGUAAAAGAAGCUCACGUUGAGUUACUCACUUUGACUUGAAUACACUUCUGUGAGGAGUUACAUCAGCAUUAUGAUUGAAUAAGAUGUGUUUCAUCAUACCCCCCCCUUUAAUAACAACUUGGCUUCAUUCACAGACCAAAGCGUCUUUGUGGGAGCUGUGGGAUCCAGCAAAAUAUGUCAAGGAGAACAAGAGGAAUCUCACCCACCUGUGCACAGGGUAUUAGGCAUAAAGACCUCAGUCCCAGCUUUGGACAUUGCAGUCAUCUGUUAACUGGCUCCAUACCCUCUUGGCUACAGCCUGGGGGGUACCUGGAAAAUCCUGUUUUAAUCUAUCACUUAAGAACAAAAGAGCUUUUGUGGAUAUUCAGGUUUCUUGUAGAGAAGUACUGGCAUAAUGUUGGGGCAAAAAAAAUGAUAUAUGUAUGAGUUUGCAUGAAUUGAACAAAGUAAAAGGAAUGGUUUCACUUUACGAACAUCAAGCCUCCCCCAAGACUGAACAACUAAAGGCCAAGAGGGCUCUUCCUGGCCCAUGAUUUCCCCUGCAGGGGCAAGUGAGAGCACGUGAAUUAACAUGUAGCUGUUCCAACUGUGUGGGAUGUUGCCAAAAAGGCCCAUUGACUUCUUGCCCCAUUCAGAGUGCUGAAUUAUGAGAUGAAUGGGGUGGGAAGAGGUAGCAGAUAGGAUUCUUAGAAGAAAUUGAUGUGGUGCAGAUUCUACCUGCUGUAUCACAGACUCUAUCAAGAAGCACAUCCAUGAGUGAAUAGUAGGGAUGCCUCACCCAUGGAUCCUCCCAACUGGCCAGUGGGCACCCUCAGUGCUCUGAACAUAUUAUACAAAUAUCCACACUGUGGCUAGUUUCCCAUGGGUGCUCACAACCAAGGCAGUGAGGGAAGGCUUUCGCUGACAGCUUGAGAACACACAAAGGAAGCUGGCUCAGUUCUGCAGGCUAGAGACAGACCAUAAAUUUCUGCAUUAGCACCACCCUUAGGAGAAGAAAAGGGGCUCUAUCAACCCCCAGCCUAUUGUGUUGCUAGAUAAAAACAGCAUAUAAGCUCAAGAAUUCUACCAAAAGAUUAAAUAAGAAGCAUGAAACACUUUAAUCCAUAGAAGGUCUGAGAAAGCUUCAGAAACUCUAAGUGUAGAGGGCCAACAGAAGUAUUCUUCUCCUAAAGACAAUUAGCAAACACUGGAGUAAGUGGCUGCUACUUCAAAAGUGAAGACAGAGGGACGAGGGGAAGAUGGCGGAAGAGUAAGAUGCAGAGAUCAACUUCCUCCCCACAGAUACACCAGAAAUACAUCUACACGUGGAACAACUCCUACAGAACACCUACUGAAUGCUGGCAGAAGACCUCAGACCUCCCAAAAGGCAAGAAAGUCCCCACGUACCUGGGUAGGGCAAAAGAAAAAACAAUAAACAGAGAAAAAGGAUAGGGACGGGACCUGCACCAGUGGAAGGAAGCUGUGAAGGAGGAAAGGUUUCCACACACUAGGAAGACCUUCGUGGGCAGAGACUGCGGGUGGCGGAGGAGACCAUAGCAAUGGGUGUGGAGGGCAAAGCGGAGAGAUUCCCGCACAGAGGAUCGGUGCCGAGAAGCUUGUCUGCUCACCCACCAGGGUGGGCGGGGGCUGGGAGCUGAGGCUCGGGCUUCGCUUGGAGCGCAGGGAGAGGACUGGGGUUGGCAGCAUGAACACAGCCUGCAGGGGGUUAGUGCACCACGGCUAGCCGGAAGGGAGUCCGGGGAGGAGUCUGGACCUCCCAAAGAGGCAAGAGACUUUUUCUUCCCUCUUUGUUUCCUGGUGCACGAGGAGAGGGGAUUAAGAGCGCUGCUUAAAGGAGCUCCAGAGACGAGCGCGAUCUGCGGCUAGCAGCGCGGACCCCAGAGACGGGCAUGAGAUACUAAGGCUGCUGCUGCCGCCACCAAGAAGCCUGUGUGCGAGCACAGGUCACUAUCCACACCUCCCUUCCGGGGAGCCUGUGCAGCCCGCCACUGCCAGGGUCCCGGGAUCCAGGGACAACUUCCCCGGGAAAACGCACGGCACGCCUCAGGCUGGUGCAUCGUCCCACCAGCCUCUGCCGCUGCAGGCUCGCCCCGCAUCCACACCCCUCCCUCCCCCUGGCCUGAGUGAGCCAGAGUCCCUGAAGCAGCUGCUCCUUUAACCCCGUCCUGUCUGAGCGAAGAACAGACGCCCUCCGGCGACCAACACGCAGAGGCAGGGCCAAAUCCAAAGCUGAGCCCUGGGAGCUGUGUAAACACAGAAGAGAAAGGGAAAUCUCUCCCAGCAGCCUCAGGAGCAGCGGAUUAAAUCUCCACAAUCAACUUGAUGUACCCUGCAUCCGUGGAAUACAUGAAUAGUCAACGAAUCAUCCCAAAUUGAGGAGGUGGAUUUUGAGAGCAAGAUAUAUUAUUUUUUCCCCUUUUCCUCUUUUUGUAAGUUUGUAUGUGUAUGCUUCUGUGUGAGAUUUUGUAUAGCUUUGCUUUUCCCAUUUGUCCUAGGGUUCUAUCUGUCUGUCUUUUUUUUUUAAUAAAAUUUUUUUUCUUAAUAAAUAUUUUUUAUUUUAAUAACUUUAUUUUAUCCUUUCUUUCCUUCCUUCCUUUUUCUUUCUUUCCUGU